CCUGUCUCCAGGCUGAAUGGAAACCUCGGUGUACAAGCAGACAGAGUUUAAGAAUCUGAAAAAAUGGAACAUGCUGGGAAAAGAAUGUUUCUUCUGCUCAAGCCCAAAAACUUCAGAAAAGUAGGAUAUGGGUAUAUUUAAAAGUACAGGAACACAAAGGUAUACCUCAGCUGAGUUUGGACAUCUUGUCCUUUCUGAAGCACAAUAAAGCUCUUCAUAUUACCCAGUUCAUCCUACUUGUUAUUCAAGUCCUCCUCUGCAUUGAGAUUGACCCCAUCUCCGUUAUAUCAGUACAUUUCAUUUGUGAGUCAAGGUCAUUAAAGAGAAUAUUAAAUAAGAUUGUUCAGUUGAUGAACUCCUCUAAUAUCCUUUUUCCCUGAAAUACUUCCACUUUCAAGAUAACUCAUCAUUCUGGGAAAAUAAGGAGGAUACAUGUAAUAGACAAUGGGUCAGGAAUGAACUCAGUCGCUUGAAGCCUCUUCCUGGAACAGCAAUAAACUGAAACCUGUUACUAUUAUCAAGGACAUUACAUAUUAAUGUUACUGUGGAACUGGUACCUGACCUGUGUCUCAUUCUGUCGUCCUGUAUGUGGCCUGGCCCUUUGCUAUGCCAUUACAUUUUGUUAUGCCAAACCUAUCCCAAGCUGAGCCCAGCAUGAGGACUACUGGAAGCAUGGCUUGUGCACACCAGAAAAAGGAACUUGUACCAGCAAAAUGCCAGGUGUGGGGUCAGGGGCUGCUGGAUAGACCGGGAGAGAAGCUGGGGGAUCACUGAUGAGAAAGCACUCAUAAGCUGCAGGAAAAGAGCUGGUAACAGAACACAAAAAUCUCCCAGAGGAGUGGCCUCAUGUCCACAGUGACACCAAGACGGUCUAGAGGACAACAGUGUUAGUGAGGAAAGACAGAUACCCCCAACUCUUAAAAUGUAACCUAAAUAUUUUCAGAGUAUCACAGAAUUUGCAGUAUCAUGAUUCUUACUUUUUAGUACUAAUAUUAUGAAAUGUUCAGAUGAUAUCAUGCAUGCAAGUACAAUAAAAUUCCACAAUUCUUAAA